rnacentral:rRNA from 1 species
GAUGAACGCUGGCGGCGUGCCUAAUACAUGCAAGUCGAACGAACAGAUAAGGAGCUUGCUCCUUUGACGUUAGCGGCGGACGGGUGAGUAACACGUGGAUAACCUACCUAUAAGACUGGGAUAACUUCGGGAAACCGGAGCUAAUACCGGAUAACAUAUUGAACCGCAUGGUUCAAUAGUGAAAGGCGGCUUUGCUGUCACUUAUAGAUGGAUCCGCGCCGUAUUAGCUAGUUGGUAAGGUAACGGCUUACCAAGGCAACGAUACGUAGCCGACCUGAGAGGGUGGUCGGCCACACUGGACCUGAGACACGGUCCAGACUCCUACGGGAGGCAGCAGUAGGGAAUCUUCCGCAAUGGGCGAAAGCCUGACGGAGCAACGCCGCGUGAGUGAUGAAGUUCUUCGGAUCGUAAAACUCUGUUAUCAGGGAAGAACAAAUGUGUAAGUAACUGUGCACAUCUUGACGGUACCUGAUCAGAAAGCCACGGCUAACUACGUG